AUUGAACGCUGGCGGCAGGCCUAACACAUGCAAGUCGAGCGGUAGCACAGAGAGCUUGCUCUCGGGUGACGAGCGGCGGACGGGUGAGUAAUGUCUGGGAAACUGCCUGAUGGAGGGAGAUAACUACUGGAAACGGUAGCUAAUACCGCAUAACGUCGCAAGACCAAAGAGGGGGACCUUCGGGCCUCUUGCCAUCAGAUGUGCCCAGAUGGGAUUAGCUAGUAGGUGGGGUAACGGCUCACCUAGGCGACGAUCCCUAGCUGGUCUGAGAGGAUGACCAGCCACACUGGAACUGAGACACGGUCCAGACUCCUACGGGAGGCAGCAGUGGGGAAUAUUGCACAAUGGGCGCAAGCCUGAUGCAGCCAUGCCGCGUGUAUGAAGAAGGCCUUCGGGUUGUAAAGUACUUUCAGCGGGGAGGAAGGUGUUGUGGUUAAUAACCACAGCAAUUGACGUUACCCGCAGAAGAAGCACCGGCUAACUCCGUGCCAGCCGCCGCGGUAAGAC
rnacentral:rRNA from 1 species